rnacentral:misc_RNA from 1 species
GAUGAAGAACGUAGCGAAAUGCGAUAAGUAGUGUGAAUUACAGAAUUCAGUGAAUCAUCGAAUCUUUGAACGCACAUUGCGCCCUUUGGUAUUCCUUAGGGCAUGCCUGUUCGAGCGUCAUUUAAACCUUCAAGCUCAGCUUGGUGUUGGGUGACUGUCCGCUUCACCGCGGACUCGCCUCAAAAUUAUUGGCGGCCGGUACAUUGGCUUCGAGCGCAGCAGAAACGCGAACUCGGGCCCGUCGUAUUGGCUCCCAGAAGCUAUCUUCACAAUUUUGACCUCGGAUCAGGUAGGGAUACCCGCUGAACUUAAGCAUAUCAAUAAGCGGAGGA